AACGAACGCUGGCGGCAUGCCUAACACAUGCAAGUCGAACGAGACCUUCGGGUCUAGUGGCGCACGGGUGCGUAACGCGUGGGAACCUGCCCUUAGGUUCGGAAUAACUCCCCGAAAGGGGUGCUAAUACCGGAUAAUGUCUUCGGACCAAAGAUUUAUCGCCUUUGGAUGGGCCCGCGUUGGAUUAGCUAGUUGGUAGGGUAAAAGCCUACCAAGGCGACGAUCCAUAGCUGGUCUGAGAGGAUGAUCAGCCACACUGGGACUGAGACACGGCCCAGACUCCUACGGGAGGGAGCAGUGGGGAAUAUUGGAAAAUGGGCGAAAGCCUGAUCCAGCAAUGCCGCGUGAGUGAUGAAGGCCUUAGGGUUGUAAAGCUCUUUUACCCGGGAUGAUAAUGACAGUACCGGGAGAAUAAGCUCCGGCUAACUCCGUG
rnacentral:rRNA from 1 species